rnacentral:rRNA from 1 species
UACGAAGGGGGCUAGCGUUCUCGGAAUCACUGGGCGUAAAGCGCUCGUAGGCGGCUUCUUAAGUCAGGGGUGAAAUCCUGGAGCUCAACUCCAGAACUGCCUUUGAUACUGAGAAGCUUGAGUCCGGGAGAGGUGAGUGGAACUGCGAGUGUAGAGGUGAAAUUCGUAGAUAUUCGCAAGAACACCAGUGGCGAAGGCGGCUCACUGGCCCGGUACUGACGCUGAGGUGCGAAAGCGUGGGGAGCAAACAGG